CCUACGGGAGGCAGCAGUGAGGAAUAUUGGUCAAUGGCCGGAAGGCUGAACCAGCCAUGCCGCGUGAAGGUCAGUGCCCUAUGGGCGUUAAACUUCUUUUGUGCGGGAGCAAUAAUGGUCACGUGUGGCCAGACGAGAGUACCGUACGAAUAAGCAUCGGCUAACUCCGUGCCAGCAGCCGCGGUAAUACGGGGGAUGCAAGCGUUAUCCGGAUUUAUUGGGGUUAAAGGGGGCGUAGGGUGUGAGGUAAGUCAGCGGUGAAAUGCCGCCGCUCAACGGGGUGAAGUGCCAUUGAUACUGCCUAUCUGGAAUGCGGAUGCAGUGGGAGGAAUGUGUGGUGUAGCGGUGAAAUGAAUAGAUAUCACACAGAACACCGAUUGCGAAGGCAUCUCACGAAUCCGCGAUUGACGCUGAUGCACGAAAGCGUGGGUAUCAAACAGGAGUAGAUACCCUAGUAGUC
rnacentral:rRNA from 1 species